rnacentral:lncRNA from 1 species
ACCAAGUAUUGGAUUGUCACCCACCAAUAAGGAACGUAAGCUGGGUUUAGACCGUCAUGAGAUAGGUUAGUUUUACCCUACUGAUGAUAAUGUCGCAAUAAAAAUUCAACCUAGUAUGAGAGGAACUGUUGAUUCGCACAAUUGGUCAUCGCGCUAGGUUGAAAAGCCAGUGGCGCGAAGCUACCGUGCGCUGGAUUAUGACUGAACGCCUCUAAGUCAGAAUCCAGGAUAGAAGCGACGCAUGCGCCCGCCGUCCACUUGCCGACCCGUAGUAGGGGCCUUUGGCCCCCAAGGGCACGCGUCGUUGGCUAAAUCAUCGCAGCGGAAGAGCCGCGGUGGCCGCCUUGAAGUACAAUUUCCAUCGAGCGGCGGGUAGAAUCCUUUACAAAGGACAUAAAUACGUGACGGGGUAUUGUAAGUGGAAAAGUGGCCUUGCUGCCACGAUCCCCUGAGAUUCAGCCCUUUGUCGCUCCGAUUCGUCCCUCCUUCUCCCAAUCCUUUGCAGGCAACUUAAACACACGAAGGGGUAUUGGAAGUGGCAGAGUGGCCUUGCUGCCACGAUCCAAUGAGAUUCAGCCCUCUGUCGCUCCGUUUCGUCCCUCCCCCUCUAAUCCAAUCAUUUUCUAACUUUUCCGAUAAGAGGUUCACUCCUACCUUGAUAAUAUAUUAUACUAAGUGUUGGAAAAAUCGAACAAGUCCUCAAGACCUUGGAACGUAUAGUAGUUGUGCAUUAAGUGGAAAUGUGACAUGACACUUAGUCACGUCGAGGGAAAUACCAAACCAAAUCACACUACUAAGAGGCUUUUCAGGGUGUCGCUUGAGAGGUCAAGGCCUAUGCCAAGGUUUUUCAGGGUGUCGCUUGAGAGGCAAAGACCUAUGCCACGAGCGCAAGGCAUGGCCAUGGCAUGAGUUAGGACGUCCCAGGACAUGGCCGGGCGUGGCCAUGGCACGGACUAGAACGUGUCUGUACGUCGCAACACAUGGCGGGACACGAGUAAGGACGUCGCAGGACAUGGCAGGGCGUGGCCAUGGCACGAGUCAGGACGCGACAGGACAUGGCCAUGGUACGUGUCAGGACGCGUUUGGAAAUGGUAGGGCGUGACCAUGGCACGAGUCAGGACAUCGCAGGACAUGGCAAGGCAUGGCCAUGGCACGAGUCAGGACGUCGUAGGACGAGUCAGGACAUGGCCAUGGCACGUGUCAGGAUGCACCAGGACAUGGCAGUGGCACGUGUUAGGACGCAUCAGGACACGACAGGUUGUGGCCAUGGCAUGACUCAUGAUGUCGUAGGACAUGGCACGAGUCAGGACGUUGCAGGACGCGUCAGGACAUAGCCGUGGUACGUGUGAGGACGCAUCAGGACUUGGCCAUGGCAUGUGUAGGACGCGUCAGGACAUGGCAGGGCGUGGCCAUGGCACGAUUUGGGACGUCGCAGGACAUGGCAAAGCGUGGCCAUGGAACAAGUCGGGACGUCGAAGGACGCGUCCAGACAUGGCCAUGGCCUGUGUCAGGACGCGUAUGGACAUAGCAGUGGCACGUGUCAAGACGCGUCAGGACAUGGCAGGGCGUGGCCAUGGCAUGACUCAUGACAUCGUAGGAAAUGGCAGGGCGUGGUCAUGGCACGAGUCAGGACGUCGCAGGACGUGUCAGGACAUGGCCAUGGUACGUGUUAGGAUACAUCAGGACAUGACCAUGGCACGUGUCAGGACGCGUCAGGCAAUGGUAGGGCGUGGCCAUGGCACGAGUGGGGACGUUGCAAGACGCGUCAGGACAUGGUCGCCGCACGUGUCAGGAAAUGGCAGGGCGUGGCUAUGUCACGAGUCAGGACGUCGCAGGACAUGGCAGUAUAUGGCCAUGGUACGUGUCAGGACGUGUCAGGACAUGGCCAUGGCACGACAUAUAUGAAAAGGACUUUAAAAAGAGAGUCACCACGUCGCUCCAAGCCGCAGCACGUCUCUCUAAGCUGCACCAUGUCGCACCAUGUCUAUUGCUAGCCAAUGCUUAGAAACAUGUCAAACGCAAUGAUGUUGGUGACCAUUGGCGGCGGUGGUGGAAAAUCAGGGUGGUUCAAGCGGUAGCGUCCGGCGACGAUCGGUCGACGCUUUUUAGUUGGCGGCAGUUGCUUCAAAUCCUAAUCACUUGCUGUGGUUGGGAAACAUGUCAAGCGCAAUGAUGUUGGUGGUCGUUGGUAGCGGUGGUGGAAAGUCGCAGUGGUUCGAGCAGUAUCCGCCGGCGACGGUUGGUCGACGCUUUGUGGUUGGUGGAGGUUUAUUAAAAUCGGAAUCCCUUGUUAUGGUUGCAACAAUAGAUGUGCCUCAUGCUUAUUGGUACGCUCGUGGAACUUGGGUUUUUUUAAAGGAUGUAUAAGGGGGUAGAGGUAUUGAGAGGCUCCUCAGGUGCUUGCUUCCAGGAAGGGGUGGGCAUGCAUGGGGGACGCUGGCAUGGGGCGUGGGCAUUGGGGGCAUGCACGGCUUGUCCGUGCUACGUCCUCCAUGUUCCAAAACCGCGCCGGCAAGUAAUCGUGUGGGCUUUUAUUAAGCCUGGUGGUGGCACUGCUCGUGGCAAACAUUGGUUUUGGCAACGAAGGUGGAGCGUCAUGCAAGUAGCGCCGCAAGGUGCUGUGCGCAUGGGGCGAAGCUCAGUACUUGUUGAUCUCCAUUGGAUGUUGCGGGCCAAAUCGGGAGGCAACAUCGCUCGUGGCGGCUGAUUGCUUUUGACAACAGAACGGCAAAGCAUCGUGCAAGUAGCGCCGCGAGGUGCUGUGCGCAUGGAACGAAGCUUAGUAAGUUUUUGAUUGCCAUUGGUUAUUGUGGAUUGUGUCUUGAAUCUCUCGUGGCGGCUGAUGGCUUUCGACAACGAACGGCGGAGCAUCGUGCAAGUAGCAUCGCAAGGUGCUGUGCGUAUGUGGCGAAGCUUAGUAAAUGUCGAUUGCCAUCGGUUGUUGCGAGCAACAUCGCUCAUGGCAGUUGAUGUCUUUCGGCAAUGGAACAGCGGAUCAUCGUGCAAGUAGCGCCGCAAGGUGUCGAGCGCAUGGGGUGAAGCUUAGUAAGUUGCCUAUUGCCAUCGAUUGUUGUGGGUUGUGUCUAUAAACCCCCCUCCGUGGCGGCUUAUGGCUUUUGACAACGAACAACAAAGCAUCGUGCAAGUAGCACCGCAAGGUGGUGUGCGCACGAGGCGAAGCUCAGUAGAUGUUCAUUGCCAUCGGUUGUUGUGAGAAACAUCGAGAGGCCACAUUGCUCGUGGCGGCUGAUGGCUUUUGGCAACAAAAUGGCAAAGCAUCGUGCAAGUAGCGCCGCAAGGUGCCGUGAGCACGGGGCGAAGCUUAGUAAGUUGCUGNNNNNNNNNNNNNNNNNNNNNNNNNNNNNNNNNNNNNNNNNNNNNNNNNNNNNNNNNNNNNNNNNNNNNNUGUAAGCAUCGUGCAAGUAGCGCCGCAAGGUGCCAUGCAUAUGGGGCGAAGCUUAUUGAGUUGCUAAUUCCAUCGGUUAUUGUGGGCAACAUCGGGAGGCGACAUCGCUCGUGGUGGCUGAUGGCUUUUGGGAACAAAAUGGCAAAGCAUCGUGCAAGUAGCGCCGCAAGGUGCUGUGCGUACAGGGCAAAGCUUAGUAAGUUCCGAUUUCCAUCGGUUGUAGCGGGUAACAUCUGGAGGCGACAUCGCUCGUUGUGGUUGAAGGGUAUUGGCAACAAAAUGGCAAAGCAUCGUGCAAGUAGAACCGCAAGGUGCCGUGCUCACGGGGCGAAGCUUAGUAAGUUGCUGAUUUCCAUCAGUUGUUGCUGGAAAAUUGGAAGGCAACAUCGCUCGUGGCGGCUGAUGGCUUUUCGCAAUGGAAUGGCAAAGCAUCGUACAAGUAGCGCCGCAAGGUGCCAUGCGCAUGGGGCGAAGCUCAGUAAAUUUCCAAUUGCCAUCGGUUGUUGUUGUUUGUGUCUAGCAUUGUUCAAACCUCCUAUUCGUGCUUUGCGGGGCUUGUCUUGGCUUUGCAAUGUUGGCAUCGGCAAAAACACACGGCUGCACGUCACGUGUCUGGGCUAGUGUUUACUUUGUAUCGGCGAGGCAAGUUUUUGUGUUUCAUACGUAAUGCAAAGGCAUUAUCAAGCACAACUGGUCGCCUUUCGCCCCUCGCGUUUGACGUGCGGGGAGAACCAAAAGCUGCAGUGUGUCCCAGGUUGUCCUGGCUUCGCCAUGCGAUGGCUUGGUCAACGACUUAACAUGCUCGAGCUCUCGAAUUUGGUUAACGCAAUGGGCAUGGGGCCAUCAUUAGCUCCUAUCAAUCCAAAGAAUGCUCCUUACGAAUGAUGAUCGUGCUCGCCUUAGACUUGGCCGUGCCCUUUUGAGUUGGCCACGCUUAUGCGACGCUGGCGUCAAUGAGGAAUGCUACCUGGUUGAUCCUGCCAAUAGUCAUAUGCUUGCCUCUAAGAUUAAGCCAUGCAUGUGUAAGUAUGAACAAAUUCAGACUGUGAAACUGCGAAUGGCUCAUUAAAUCGGUUAUUGUUUGUUUGAUGGUAUCUACUACUCGGAUAACCGUAGUAAUUCUAGAGCUAAUACGUGCAACAAUCCCCGACUUCUGGAAGGGAUGCAUUUAUUAGAUAAAAGGUCGACGCGGGCUCUGCCCGUUGCUGCGAUGAUUCAUGAUAACUCGAUUCUGGAAGGGUUGCAUUUAUUAGAUAAAGGUCGACGCGGGCUCUGCACGUUGCUGCGAUGAUUCAUGAUAACUCGUCGAAUCUUACGGCCAUCAUGCCGGCGACGCAUCAUUCAAAUUUCUGACCUAUAUAUUUUCGAUGGUAGGAUAGUGGCCUACCAUGGUGGUGACAGGUGACGAAGAAUUAGGGUUCGAUUCCGGAGAGGGAGCCUGAGAAAUGGCUACCACAUCAAAGGAAGGCAGCAGGCGCGCAAAUUACCCAAUCCUGACACGGGUAGGUAGUGACAAUAAAUAAUAGAAUCGGGCUUUAUGAGUCUGGUAAUUGGAAUGUGUACAAUCUAAAUACCUUAACGAGGAUCCAGUGGA